GAGGAGUGGGAAUGCCUGGACGUCGGUCAGCGGGAAUUGUACAGGGACGUGAUGUUAGAGAACUACGGGAAUCUGGCCUGCUUGGGUCUUGUGGUCUCUAAGCCAGACCUGGUCACGUUUCUGGAGCAAAUGAAGGAUCCCUGGGAUGUAAGGAGAAUGGAGACAGCCAUACACCCAGCUGUGUCUUCUCUCGACACCCAGGGUUUGAGGACCCAAAAGCCAGGCUUAGAAGAUUUACUCCCAAC